rnacentral:rRNA from 1 species
CCUGGGGAGUACGGUCGCAAGAUUAAACUCUAAAGGAAUAGACGGGGACCCGCACAAGUGGUGGAGCAUGUGGUUUAAUUCGAAGAUACGCGAAGAACCUUACCUAGCCUUGACAUUGAAGAAAUAGACCAGAGAUGGACUAGUGCCCUUCGGGGAAUCUGAAAACAGGUGCUGCACGGCUGUCGUCAGCUCGUGUCGUGAGAUGUUGGGUUAAGUCCCGCAACGAGCGCAACCCUCGUCCUUAGUUGCUAGCAGUUCGGCUGAGCACUCUAAGGAGACUGCCUUCGUAAGGAGGAGGAAGGUGAGGACGACGUCAAGUCAUCAUGGCCCUUAUGGCUAGGGCUACACACGUGCUACAAUGGGGCGUACAGAGUGUUGCGAUACCGCGAGGUGGAGCUAAUCACUUAAAGCGUCUCUCAGUUCGGAUUGGAGUCUGCAACUCGACUCCAUGAAGCUGGAAUCACUAGUAAUCGUAGAUCAGCAAUGCUACGGUGAAUACGU